CUUGCUGGCAGUGGAAUACCUUUAAAGUAGCAUUUAAAGAAUUGAUGGUGCUGAUAGAUUGCUCCAAUACAUAAAGUGAAAAAGUAGCGAAUGUAUUUCACCACAAUAUUCAUGCCAAGUGUUAAAUUUGGAACAGAAAUCAAAGUCAGGAAAACUUAGCAUGAUCAAUUUAGUAAAAAUGUAGUCAGGUCAGGCUCACUAAGGGUAGUUUCUUGUUUUUAGCUAUGGUCAACCCAGUAGCAUAGUAACUCCGUCAUACCCAAAUAUUGAUUGGGUUUCCAACACUCUGAAGUCUGCUGACUACGUGGAGACAGCUCCGAUCAACAAACAAAGGAGCCCUUUGCUGCUUCGCUCUGCAGUUAAGUGCAUCUUCUUAGAAGAUCUUCAAAGGGAAGAAUGAUCAUCUACAGGCCAAGACACAGCGACCAGAAUAGUCACCUCUGCAGUGCUCAUUCCCCAAAGCCUUCUAUCUCCAUCUUCUUCAGGAGCCAUGAGUCUGUCUCAUUGUUGCAGGCAGGCAGAGUUGUCUCUAUGAGAAAAUAGCAAAACAGAGAGCCUUCAGACUAUUAUGAGCUUUACAAAAAUUUCUUUGGGUUCUUUGUAAAUGGUGGCUUAUGACCCAAAAGGCCCACAUUCAAACCAUAAUCAGAAAUAAUAUGGAAAUUACAGUAAUCUAUCUCUGGUGAUCUAAUCUCUCACCAGGCCUGCAUCACAGACACACCUUGCAUUUUGUUGUGUGUUAAAUCUAUGUGAAAAAAGUCAGUCCCCCAAAUUAGUCCUGCCAGGUGUUUCUAAAAAAUAGUUUCCACAUGACAGCUGCUUUUGUCAAUAUCCUGCUAAAGAAUGAAACAUUUUUUUAAAAGUUUGUAGAGCCCUGACUUUGUCUAGAGUCUCCUUCAGUUUUCCUGUCUCCACUGAUAUCAUUGUAAACGUUUGCUUUCUCCAAAUGGCUAAUGUGUUCUCUAUAACUCUACUCGCGACGCAUCUUGGCGGGUUGCUGUGGAAAUAUUAAAUCAUCCCACAUGUGUAUGUGUUUGCCUCUCCAGGUAUAUUUUGGGAUUUACUUGAGAACUGUGAUUGUGGCUCUUUGUCCUCCUCCCCUUCCUCCUCUCUUUCCCGUUCUCUUUUCCCUGGAAACACCUCGGUAGUGUUCAGUAAGCAAAUCCUCAAUCAUUCUUGACUGAUUGAUUUCCCAAAUAAAAAGUAAAGACUACAAUUUCUUGACUAGUAU
rnacentral:lncRNA from 1 species